GGCGAUUAGGCCACACCUGGUUUUCUCUUACUCUGUGCCAGGGGCGAUUAGGCCACACUUGAUCUUCUCUUACUCUGUGCCAGGGGCGAUUAGGCCACACAUGGUCUUUCCAUCUCAUAUCAUAUCAUAUCACAUUGAGGGCUCAUGGAUCAUCCAAUAUCCAUCCACAUCAAUAAUAAAUAAUGCAAUGCAUCAUAUUCGUGAAUUCUAAUGCAAAACAACCUAGUAUAUAUCAUGGCAUUCGUGAUGCAUGAACAUGCUCAAAAUUUAUUUGCUUUAAAACGUAAAGAUCCAUUCUACUCACCUUGGGUUGACUCUGCAA
rnacentral:lncRNA from 1 species